rnacentral:rRNA from 1 species
CGUACAGAACCUUCCUUUAAGCGGGGGAUAGCCCAUAGAAAUGUGGAUUAAUACCCCAUAGUAAUGUUGACUGGCAUCAGUUGAUAUUUAAAGAUUUAUCACUUAAAGAUGGCUGUGCGGCUGAUUAGGUAGUUGGUGUGGGUAACGGCCCACCAAGCCAGCGAUCAGUAACUGGUGUGAGAGCACGACCAGUCACACGGGCACUGAGACACGGGCCCG